GACGAACGCUGGCGGCGUGCUUAACACAUGCAAGUCGAACGGAAAGGCCCUGCUUUUGUGGGGUGCUCGAGUGGCGAACGGGUGAGUAACACGUGAGUAACCUGCCCUUGACUUUGGGAUAACUUCAGGAAACUGGGGCUAAUACCGGAUAGGAGCUCCUGCUGCAUGGUGGGGGUUGGAAAGUUUCGGCGGUUGGGGAUGGACUCGCGGCUUAUCAGCUUGUUGGUGGGGUAGUGGCUUACCAAGGCAUUGACGGGUAGCCGGCCUGAGAGGGUGACCGGCCACAUUGGGACUGAGAUACGGCCCAGACUCCUACGGGAGGCAGCAGUGGGGAAUAUUGCACAAUGGGCGGAAGCCUGAUGCAGCAACGCCGCGUGCGGGAUGACGGCCUUCGGGUUGUAAACCGCUUUAGCCUGUGACGAAGCGUGAGUGACGGUAAUGGGUAAAGAAGCACCGGCUAACUACGUG
rnacentral:rRNA from 1 species